CCUACGGGAGGCAGCAGUGAGGAAUAUUGGUCAAUGGACGGAAGUCUGACCCAGCCAUGCCGCGUGCAGGAAGACGGCCCUCUGAGUUGUAAACUGUUUUUGUACAAGGGUAAACCUGAAUACGUGUAUUCAGCUGACAGUACUGUACUACUAAGGAUCGGCUAACUCCGUGCCAGCAGCCGCGGUAUUACGGAGGAUCCAUGCGUUAUCCGGAUUUAUUGGGUUUAAAGGGUGCGUAGGCGGAUUGAUAAGUUAGAGGUGAAAAGUCCGAGCUUAACUCGGGAACUGCCUCUAAUACUGUUGAUCUAGAGAGUGGAUGCGGUAGGCGGAAUGUAUGGUGUAGCGGUGAAAUGCUUAGAGAUCAGACAGAACACCGAUUGCGAAGGCAGCUUACCAAUCUAUAUCUGACGUUGAGGCACGAAAGCGUGGGGAGCAAACAGGAUUAGAUACCCCUGUAGUC
rnacentral:rRNA from 1 species